UACGUAGGCAGCAAGCGUUGUUCGGAGUUACUGGGCGUAAAGGGUGUGUAGGCUGGUUGGAUAAAGUGGUGGUGUCGAAAUCUCCCGGCUUAACUGGGAGGGUGCGCGUACAAACUGUUCUGACUAGAAGUGUGGGAUGGGUAAGUGGAAUUCCUGGAUGUAGCAGUGAAAAUGCGUAGAUAGUCGUGAGGAACACCAGAGGCGAAGGCGGUUAACCUGGACAGUUAC
rnacentral:rRNA from 1 species